rnacentral:tRNA from 1 species
GUCGAGGUAGCUCAAUUGGUGAGAGCGGGCGUUUCAUAAGCGCCAGGUUGUGAGUUCGAUUCUCACCCUCGACA